rnacentral:rRNA from 1 species
UACGUAGGUGGCAAGCGUUGUCCGGAUUUACUGGGUGUAAAGGGCGUGCAGCCGGAGAGACAAGUCAGAUGUGAAAUCCACGGGCUCAACCCGUGAACUGCAUUUGGAACUGUGCUGCUAGAGUGUCGGAGAGGCAGGCGGAAUUCCUAGUGUAGCGGUGAAAUGCGUAGAUAUUAGGAGGAACACCAGUGGCGAAGGCGGCCUGCUGGACGAUGACUGACGUUGAGGCUCGAAAGCGUGGGGAGCAAACAGG